CUGUGCUGGAAACGAGAAGUUCCAAGCUGUAACAUUUUUACCCACUGCAGAUGUUAGCAGAAGACAUAUGAUCUUAAUCUAAGGAUGUAUGUAGGGAAGAGAUCGCUCUGUAUUAUCUGGGUGGGCCCGAAACCUAAUGAUAAAACCUGUAUGAGAGAA